CACGUAGGGUGCGAGCGUUGUCCGGAAUUAUUGGGCGUAAAGAGCUCGUAGGCGGUGUGUCGCGUCGGCCGUGAAAACCUGCAGCUUAACUGUGGGCUUGCGGUCGAUACGGGCAUCACUGGAGUUCGGCAGGGGAGACUGGAAUUCCUGGUGUAGCGGUGGAAUGCGCAGAUAUCAGGAGGAACACCGAUGGCGAAGGCAGUUCUCUGGGCCGUAACUGACGCUGAGGAGCGAAAGCGUGGGGAGCGAACAGG
rnacentral:rRNA from 1 species